AUUCAAUAGCCAGAACUGACGAACUUUCAGCCUACUGCCUCAGCCAUGAACAGAAACAAGAAAUAGAGCAUCACAGGAAGUGUUUACAUUUCUCUAAUGCUAUAACAUGACUUAGAUUGGACAUGGCAUCCGAUGUCCAACUCACCAUGUAGAGGUAGGAGGUUCUUGCUGUGGUUUACAUUUAACACAAUCCAUGAUGUAAGAUAUUUGGUUCUUUGAUAGAUAUAUGACAGCACAUGGACAAAGAGAUCCAUUUGUAUCUCUCACGUCCCAAAUAGCAGUGCACCGAUAAAUAUAAGACAGAUAUGCGAACUGCUAAAAGGAAUGGGAGAAAGGGUAUAUGGUAUAAAAAAUUUCGAAGGAACAUGCAUGCAGCUACUAGCUAUUGACCCAAACAGUCUGCAGCAGUCAAGCAUCAUGGAUGACUGACGAGCCAAAUAACUGGCUGAGUAAAGAUUCCCUGGUGGUCUAAUGCAAUUGAUGCCUUCCAGAAAGAAAUCCUCCAAGAAA
rnacentral:lncRNA from 1 species